rfam:Firmicutes bacterium CAG:194 genomic scaffold, scf45
GAGCUGUGUAUGCUUCUUUCUACUUGGCUAAGUACUGACAAGAUAUAUGGUGCCACGACAAGGAUGUCGUGGCAGCGAACCUGAGACAUGGAUGUCGAAUGUUCGCGUGCCAUAUAGAUUGACAGUACGUGCCCUAGUAGAAAAGCAUAUGCAGCGU